rnacentral:lncRNA from 1 species
CUGUAACAGUUCUAAUCGAUCAAGCUGAAGCUGAGGCUAUAAUUCGCACGGAAUUAAUACUACCCAGGGACUCACCGGAAGAGGCCGAUGUUCCCGUGGAACCCGACCCGGUUCGUCCCCGUCGAUUGAGGAAAUCCACACGUAUGGCGGAUUACAGUUACGAUUAAUUAGUGGGCAGUAACUAAUAAAAUAAAUGGGAGGGAGUUACAAAUAAUUAGUAGGAAAUAAUUAGUGGGCAUUAAGUAGUGGCAGUUACAAAGCUGAAUCCUUGUAAGCUUAAAUAGACGUGAAUAGAAGGAGGAGAUAUGAAUUGAUUUACUCAAACAACUCUCGUCUUCUCCCUUCGAAUCCCUCGGGAUAACCUCGUCUUCAACCUCCGGUCCCC